AAGUUUUCGGAUGGAAGACAAAUUGACUGAGUGGCGGACGGGUGAGUAACGCGUGGGUAACCUGCCUCAUACAGGGGGAUAACAGUUAGAAAUGACUGCUAAUACCGCAUAAGCGCACGGAAGCGCAUGUUUCUGUGUGAAAAACUCCGGUGGUAUGAGAUGGACCUGCGUCUGAUUAGCUAGUUGGUGAGGUAACGGCCCACCAAGGCGACGAUCAGUAGCCGACCUGAGAGGGUGACCGGCCACAUUGGGACUGAGACACGGCCCAAACUCC
rnacentral:rRNA from 1 species